UACAGAGGGUGCGAGCGUUGUCCGGAAUCACUGGGCGUAAAGGGCGCGUAGGCGGCUUGAUAAGCGUGCGGUGAAAAGCCCCGGGGCUCAACCCCCGGGUCGGCCGUGCGAACUGUCGAGCUGGAGCACUGUAGAGGCAGGUGGAAUUCCGGGUGUAGCGGUGGAAUGCGUAGAGAUCCGGAAGAACACCGGUGGCGAAGGCGGUUAGCUGGGCAGUUGCUGACACUGGAGGCGCGACAGCGUGGGGAGCAAACAGG
rnacentral:rRNA from 1 species